UCAUCACCCUGCCUGCUGGCUGGGCAGGGUAACUCCUGAGGUCACCACCCUCCCCAGCCUGCCUUGGGCUUGGGGAGUGAGGAGGAGGGCGAGGGACGUCUGCUGACCCUGAAUAUCCGCCAUCCAUCAUACCAUCACUGAGAGCAAGGAGCCCCCUGGAUUCGGAGCAGGAGGAAGGGGUGGACGUGGCCCAAGAUGAAGCUGCUCUCAAGGUCAUCCGAGAGCAGCUCCAGUGCAGACAUAAGGAUGAGGGGCAGCAGCUCCUGUUCCUGCAGGCCAUCUACCCCGCAUGUCUGGCUGCACGGGAGAGAGGGGAGGACACGCUGGAGCCGCGCUGCUGCAAGGCGGCUGUGGUGAAGAGGAUCGUGGAGCUCAUCGAGGAGCUUCCCGAGGACUCGUCACCCAGCGCCGUCCUCGCCCACUCCCUGGC